rnacentral:lncRNA from 1 species
AAGUAAUAUAGUAGAAAGCUGAGGACUAUUUUUGUUAGAACAAAUACCGCAACGAAAAUCUGAUUGUGAUUAAUAUCUAACUAAUUUUGUAAUAAGAAUAAAAUCAAACUUACAGAUAAACGCAAAUAUCCAAAUAAUGAUUUGAUCUUAUCCGGAAGCGUGCGAGGCACUGCCCUAAGGCGUAUUCCCGUCCUUACGUGCGGGAUUAACCGGGAACAACACCCCAAGGUACGACCGGAAUUCCUCCUCCUGCGAGCACGAUCGUGAAGAAGGUUGACGAAGACUCUUUCAACACCCAACAAUUAACAGAAGAAAAUUAACUUAUGAAAAGAAAUCUCAAAGUGAAAAUUC